AUUGAACGCUGGCGGCAGGCCUAACACAUGCAAGUCGAACGAGUGGCGGACGGGUGAGUAAUGUCUGGGAAACUGCCCGAUGGAGGGGGAUAACUACUGGAAACGGUAGCUAAUACCGCAUACCAUCGGAUGUGCCCAUAUGGGAUUAGCUAGUAGGUGGGGUAACGGCUCACCUAGGCGACGAUCCCUAGCUGGUCGGAGAGGAUGACCGGCAACACUGGAACUGAGACACGGUCCAGAUUCCUACGGGAGGCAGCAGUGGGGAAUAUUGCACAAUGGGCGCAAGCCUGAUGCAGCCAUGCCGCGUGUAUGAAGAAGGCCUUCGGGUUGUAAAGUACUUUCAGCGAGGAGGCGUUACUCGCAGAAAAAGCACCGGCUAACUCCGUGCCAGCCGCCGCGGUAAUAC
rnacentral:rRNA from 1 species